CACGGGGGGAGCAAGCGUUGUUCGGAAUCACUGGGCGUAAAGGGCGUGUAGGCGGUCAAGUAAGUGGAAUGUGAAAGCCCCCGGCUUACCCGGGGAUCUGCAUCCCAAACUGCUUGGCUUGAGUACGGGAGAGGAUAGGGGAAUUCCUGGUGUAGCGGUGAAAUGCGUAGAUAUCAGGAGGAACACCAACGGCGAAGGCAGCUCGCUGGGACGGUACUGACGCUAAGGCGCGAAAGCGUGGGGAGCGAACAGG
rnacentral:rRNA from 1 species